rnacentral:rRNA from 1 species
UACGGGGGGGCAAGCGUUGUUCGGAAUUACUGGGCGUAAAGGCUCGUAGGCGGCCAACUAAGUCGGAUGUGAAAUCCCAGGCUUAACCUGGGAAUUGGCAUCCGAUACUGGAUGGCUUGAAUCCGGGAGAGGGAUGCGGAAUUCCAGGGUGUAGCGGUGGAAAUGCGGCAGGAUAAUCAGGAGGAGCACCGGUGGCGAAGGCGGGGUCGUCUGGGCGAGUAACUGACGCU